CGGUGGCUGCACGGUUCGACACAACCAAACUUAUCCCUGGGGCUAUAACCAUUCUCCGGGAGCUGCCUCUGUCGUGGCCGUGGCCACGGUACGCGGUGCCCACCUGCACUUGCAGGCCGCAGAGGAUUAAAAGGAGUGACGGCCGAGGUGGCUUCCGU
rnacentral:other from 1 species